AGAAAUAUAGCUCAGUGGCACGAGUGUCUGCCUGGCAAGCACAAGGUCCUGAAUUCAAUUUCCAGUAACUA
rnacentral:tRNA from 1 species